UGCGUAGGCGGAUUAAUAAGUCAGUGGUGAAAACCUGCAGCUUAACUGUAGAACUGCCAUUGAUACUGUUAGUCUUGAGUACGGUCAAGGUAGGCGGAAUGUGUAAUGUAGCGGUGAAAUGCUUAGAUAUUACACAGAACACCGAUUGCGAAGGCAGCUUACUGGACCAUUACUGACGCUGAGUCACGAAAGCGUGGGGAGCGAACAGGAUUAGAUACCCUGGUAGUCC
rnacentral:rRNA from 1 species